AAGCACUGUGACAAGGACAUCAACGUUGGAAAACAAUACACGACAACUUGAGCGCAGUGUGAGCCAACUCAAUGCCAAAGCACAGACACAAAGCAGUGACAUACAAGAGAAUAAAAUGAAGAAUGACGACCAAGACAACACGGUA